rnacentral:rRNA from 1 species
UGAUCUGCCCUGCACUUUGGGAUAAGCCUGGGAAACUGGGUCUAAUACCGAAUAGGAUCACUGGCUUCAUGGUCGGUGGUGGAAAGCUUUUGCGGUGUGGGAUGGGCCCGCGGCCUAUCAGCUUGUUGGUGGGGUAAUGGCCUACCAAGGCGACGACGGGUAGCCGGCCUGAGAGGGUGACCGGCCACACUGGGACUGAGAUACGGCCCAGACUCCUACGGGAGGCAGCAGUGGGGAAUAUUGCACAAUGGGCGCAAGCCUGAUGCAGCGACGCCGCGUGAGGGAUGACGGCCUUCGGGUUGUAAACCUCUUUCAGCACAGACGAAGCGCAAGUGACGGUAUGUGCAGAAGAAGGACCGGCCAACUACGUGCCAGCAGCCGCGGUAAUACGUAGGGUCCGAGCGUUGUCCGGAAUUACUGGGCGUAAAGAGCUCGUAGGUGGUUUGUCGCGUUGUUCGUGAAAACUCACAGCUUAACUGUGGGCGUGCGGGCGAUACGGGCAGACUGGAGUACUGCAGGGGAGACUGGAAUUCCUGGUGUAGCGGUGGAAUGCGCAGAUAUCAGGAGGAACACCGGUGGCGAAGGCGGGUCUCUGGGCAGUAACUGACGCUGAGGAGCGAAAGCGUGGGGAGCGAACAGGAUUAGAUACCCUGGUAGUCCACGCCGUAAACGGUGGGUACUAGGUGUGGGUUUCCUUCCUUGGGAUCCGUGCCGUAGCUAACGCAUUAAGUACCCCGCCUGGGGAGUACGGCCGCAAGGCUAAAACUCAAAGGAAUUGACGGGGGCCCGCACAAGCGGCGGAGCAUGUGGAUUAAUUCGAUGCAACGCGAAGAACCUUACCUGGGUUUGACAUGCACAGGACGCUGGUAGAGAUAUCAGUUCCCUUGUGGCCUGUGUGCAGGUGGUGCAUGGCUGUCGUCAGCUCGUGUCGUGAGAUGUUGGGUUAAGUCCCGCAACGAGCGCAACCCUUGUCCUAUGUUGCCAGCGGGUUAUGCCGGGGACUCGUAGGAGACUGCCGGGGUCAACUCGGAGGAAGGUGGGGAUGACGUCAAGUCAUCAUGCCCCUUAUGUCCAGGGCUUCACACAUGCUACAAUGGCCGGUACAAAGGGCUGCGAUGCCGUGAGGUGGAGCGAAUCCUUUCAAAGCCGGUCUCAGUUCGGAUCGGGGUCUGCAACUCGACCCCGUGAAGUCGGAGUCGCUAGUAAUCGCAGAUCAGCAACGCUGCGGUGAAUACGUUCCCGGGCCUUGUACACACCGCCCGUCACGUCAUGAAAGUCGGUAACACCCGAAGCCGGUG